rnacentral:lncRNA from 1 species
AGGAGGCGGGGCGCCUGUGGGAGCCGUGGAGGGAACUUUCCCAGUCCCCGAGGCGGAUCCGGUGUUGCAUCCUUGGAGCGAGCUGAGAGCUCGAGUGAUGUCACCAUUUCUACCUGCCAUGUAUCGGCGAAGGUUGGGACUCGACUGGUGUUUGAUCACUAUGGGAAAAUCAUCCAGAAAACCCCCUACCCCCACCCCAGAGGGAUGACAGUCAGUGUGAAGCAGUUAUUUUCUACGCUACCUGUGCACCAUAAAGAAUUUCAAAGGAAUAUUAAGAAGAAACGUGCCUGCUUCCCCUUCGCCUUCUGCCGUGAUUGUCAGUUUCCUGAGGCCUCCCCAGCCAUGCUUCCUGUACAGCCUGCAGAACUGACUCCUAGAAGUACCCCACCCCACCCCUGCUCCUUGGAGGACAACGUGAUCACUGUAUUCAGCUCUGUCAAGAAUGGUCCAGGUUCUUCUAGAUGAUCUGCACAAAUGGCUCCUCUCCUCCUUCCUGAUGUCUGCCAUUAGCACUGGAAUAAAGUUCCUGCUGAAAAUCCA